AACGAACGCUGGCGGCAGGCUUAACACAUGCAAGUCGAGCGCCCCGCAAGGGGAGCGGCAGACGGGUGAGUAACGCGUGGGAACGUACCCUUUGCUACGGAAUAGCUCCGGGAAACUGGAAUUAAUACCGUAUGUGCCCUACGGGGGAAAGAUUUAUCGGCAAAGGAUCGGCCCGCGUUGGAUUAGCUAGUUGGUGGGGUAAUGGCCUACCAAGGCGACGAUCCAUAGCUGGUCUGAGAGGAUGAUCAGCCACAUUGGGACUGAGACACGGCCCAAACUCCUACGGGAGGCAGCAGUGGGGAAUAUUGGACAACGGGCGCAAGCCUGAUCCAGCCAUGCCGCGUGAGUGAUGAAGGCCUUAGGGUUGUAAAGCUCUUUCAUCGGAGAAGAUAAUGACGGUAUCCGGAGAAGAAGCCCCGGCUAACUUCGUGCCAGCAGCCGCAGUAAGAC
rnacentral:rRNA from 1 species